ACCCUCGUGUUUAGUUGCCACCGUUGAGUUUGGAACCCUGAGCAGACUGCCGGUGAUAAGCCGGAGGAAGGUGAGG
rnacentral:rRNA from 1 species